rnacentral:misc_RNA from 1 species
GCAAAAUCCGAUACAAAGUACAACCCCAUGCAAAGCCGCAGGGGAGAAGGAAGAUGCAAAAUGUUCAUCUUCGAUAUUACAAAACCCAAACUCAACUGGUAAAAGGGAAAAAGAGUGCUUUACAGAUUCCCCAAACUGCAGGGUACUUAUUCAUUAAAAAUGUUACGCCAUAAAUUGAAAACUCAUCAGUCAUUUAUCGAUCAUCUAACCCAAUUCCGCUAGCUGAAGUAGACAAGGUUUUAGAAAAUCACCAAACACAGGCAUUCUCAAACUCUAGUAAGAAUACGACAUAAAAUGAGUUUAUUAUCCUUCUAAUGAUGCUUUGCCGCUGAAUGAACUCGAAGACAUAACCGAGAGAACAUCAGUCACGGAUGCCAUGACGCUUAAUGCUGCUUUAAGAACCUCCUGCGAACACCCUGGUUUUACUAUUGUUCGGACCUUGUCAAGAUAUUCCUGUAGCUUCUUGAUGCGGCCCAUGUAAUCCUGGUCCUCAACGCACAGGGAGACGGGCUUAGCAUCAGCACCAGGACCGUCAAACUGAAGAGGUCCAGGGUUUCUAUACAGAUCGUCCAUAAGAAACUGACUCGCAUUUUGUCUCAAUAACUCGUAUGCUUUCCCUUUCAAAUCCACAGUUGCUGGGUGAAUUGCAGGUUUCCCAAUGGACAACGCCCCAGGAUUUUGAGCCCAACGCUUCACAGUCAUCAUGGCUGCAAUCGGGGCAGCACCACAGCGCCAUUUGUUCACAGGAUUUUUCAGGUUAGUUAAAGUAGCCAUGUAACCGUUCAAGCCAGCAGCUAAGAUAUGGUAGCAAACAUGCCCAAGAACGUAGGCAUAGUCACAAUCAAAUUUUGAAGGUAAAGAUCCCCGAGCCUGGUAACCAAAGAAGUGGCAAAUUGCAUUGAAUUUCUUCCCCUUGUAAGUCCCUUCUUUCAGACGCUUGUUAAUUUCAGCCUCCACAAGAUGUGCCAAAAGUUUCUCCGUCUCAAUCUGAGAUAACUGAGCAGAGUCAUCGGAUUCAGGAUGAAGUAGCAACUGCUUCCUGAUGAAAGGUGGCAGAAAUUCAAAUAGCGCUGAUGCCCAAGGAGAGAGUUGGGAAGAAAUAUUAUCAACCAGAACUCCUUGCUUGAGUAGACUGUGAAUUUCCUUCAAAAGGGCAUAGAUUUCAGGAAUACUUUCAAUGAGCCCUUCGGGCAGUAAGAUGACCCCAUGGUAUUUGUCUUGUUGUGCUCUAGCCUGAACAGCAUCACAUAUCUGUGUCGUCAAAUCAAAAAGAGUAAGCUUUGAUGCA